UUCGCGGCAAAUCCGGUCGAGUGAUUCAGCACUAUAAAAUGUCGAUUUUUAGUAAAACUGCGAUAGAACAGCUAAAUUUGCUAUAUGGUGAUUAAAUGUUAAAAAUAAGGGAGAGUACUCAAACCCGUCAUAUACUACAUUAGCUGUGUCGGUGAAGCAAGAUGGCCGAGCCUUGAGCCUUCCUGUAUCGCCGACGUCGAAGGCCGUAAUCUCGCGACAACAGAGGAGCAACAACGUGUGAGCAAGAAGUUCUCUGAAAUCGAUGCAUAAUUAUCAAUCUGAGCUGUUAAAACAAUUGCUCGAUGAUAAUCUACUAUCACAGAUGUGUACCUUAGAAGCUGCCGCGUGAAGAACUCCAUAUCCUCUGGAGGACGUUACGAUGGGCGGAUGAUGGACCGCUUCAAUCGCUGGUCUUCCAUCGUCAUAUGGGAUACAAUGAUGUACGAUUCGGGACCGCCUUCGAGCGUUUCGUGUAAUACAUGUCGUACAAGCUCUGAUACCCUGCUGAAGUAAAUGGGCCGACAAAGCGGAGUUCCUCUUGGCCUUGUCUUUCUUACGCCUACUUAACAGACGUCGUAUAUUUAAUGCUGUGCUAAGCUAGCUGGUAAAAUGUACGUAUCACAGAAGAUUGACAGCUUUUACAGUAAAAAUAACGACUGCAAAAAACAGACACGAAAAUCGGAUGUGCAUCACGUGCACACACGUAUACACAACGGAUAGCAUGUGUCAGAUCACGAUCGACCAGAGCUGACUUGGUGGGGGUACAAACACCAGUCGGGACGCGUACAUCGGAAGGAAACACAGGGUGAGUCAUGUGUGUGUGUUCGUAAUCAAAAUUCACUCUUUAUGCGUGGCCGUAAAAGCGUUAUACCUAUCCCCUAACUGUGUCCCUAAUACACUUAAACUCACGAAAGAGAUCUAGAUUUGAAGAUACGCUUCGUUUGAGAGAGAAAAUCAAUUUUCUGAAACAACGCCUUAUGGCUGCACUGGACAUAAAAACGCCGCGCAUUUGUCUAAUCUAUUAUGGGUGUUGGGUGUAAUCAAUGCACAUUAUGAAGGUCUUAGAUCGUUAGAAACCCACAGCCGAUAAUUCGAAAAUAGCGAUUGUAAAAGCGAAGCGUUGAUCGAAAUAUAUAGGCAUUGUUAAAAUGUCUGCAGCACAUAUAUAAACAAUCAUUUUUUUACGCACAUCAACUUUUCCAUACAAAUUUCUCCGUAACUGGCAAUUUUCGGCCGAAACGUAGCUCUAAAAGGACGAUCCCGUUGAUAAGUGGAGAUUAUGAAUGUAU